CCUACGGGUGGCAGCAGCAGGGAAUCUUGGGCAAUGGGCGAAAGCCUGACCCAGCGACGUCGCGUGGGGGACGAAGGCCUUAGGGUUGUAAACCCCUUUUCCGAGGGAAGAGAAAGGACGGUACCUCGGGAAUAAGCCCCGGCUAACUACGUGCCAGCAGCCGCGGUAAUACGUAGGGGGCAAGCGUUACCCGGAAUCACUGGGCGUAAAGUGCGCGUAGGCGGUUGGAUAAGUCUCUUGUGAAAGCUCCCGGCUCAACUGGGAGAGGUCAAGGGAUACUAUUCGACUAGAGGACAGCAGAGGUAAGCAGAAUUCCCGGUGUAGCGGUGGAAUGCGUAGAUAUCGGGAGGAACACCAGUGGCGAAGGCGGCUUACUGGGCUGUAGCUGACGCUGAGGCGCGAGAGCGUGGGGAGCAAACUGGAUUAGAUACCCAGG
rnacentral:rRNA from 1 species